rnacentral:rRNA from 1 species
CUAUCAAACCCGGAGAUAUCUCGUUCUCCCCGAAACAGCUUUAGGGCUGGCCCCGGGCAUUGACCAUCGGAGGUAGAGCACUGGACCGGCGAGGGGGCCUCACCGCCUACCGACCCAGACCAAACUCCGAAUGCCGAUGGUUUCGACCCCGGGAGUCAGAGCGCGUGGGCUAAGCUGCGCGCUCGAGAGGGAAACAGCCCAGACCGCCCGCCAAGGCCCCAAAGGCCGUGCUAAGUGGCAAAGGAUGUGCGCCCGCCCAGACAACCAGGAUGUUGGCUUAGAAGCAGCCAUCCAUUCAAAGAGUGCGUAACAGCUCACUGGUCGAGUGGGGGCGCGCCGACAAUGCGCGGGGCUCAAGCACGGCGCCGAAGCGGCGGAAUCAAGCAAUUGAUUGGUAGGGGAGCUUUCCAUGCCGGGCGAAGCCGGAGGCGCGAGCCCCGGUGGACGGCAUGGAAGUGAGGAUGCAGGCAUGAGUAGCGAGAGAGCGGCGAGAAACCGCUCCGCCGAAAACCCAAGGUUUCCUGGGCGAGGCUAAUCCCCCCAGGGUCAGCCGGGAGCUAAGGCGAGGCCGGAAGGCGCAGCCGAUGCACGACGGGCAGACAUUCCCGUGCCGGCGCGGGCGCGCUACGACCGAUGGGACGACGGGGAAGGAUACGCGAGCGGGGUUCUGGACGUCCCCGUGAAAGCGCGUAGGGAGGGGCCCAGGGAAAUCCGGUCCCCACAUAUCCCGAGACGCGAGACGAGCCAUGCGGCGAAGUCGCGGAUUCCAUGCCUCCUAGAAAAAUCCCUAGGCAGCGCCCACGCCGCCCGUACCAAAACCGACACAGGUGGGUAGGAAGAGCAUUCCGAGGCGAUCGGGGCAACCAUGGUCAAGGAACUCGGCAUAAUCGUCCCGUAACUUAGGGAGAAGGGACGCCCCCCAGCGUGUACCGGCUCGCCCGGGAAGCGCCGGGGGGCCGCAGCGAAAGGGCCCAAGCGACUGUUUACCAAAAACACAGGACUCUGCCAAGCCGCGAGGCGAAGUAUAGGGUCUGACGCCUGCCCGGUGCCGGAAGGUCACGGGGAUCCGUUAGAGAGAUCGAAGCGGUGAACCCAAGCCCCGGUAAACGGCGGCCGUAACUAUAACGGUCCUAAGGUAGCGAAAUUCCUUGUCGGGUAAGUUCCGACCUGCACGAACGGCGCAACGACUUGGGCGCUGUCUCGACCAUGGGCCCGGCGAAAUUGCAUUAUCCGUGAAGAUGCGGAUUC